rnacentral:rRNA from 1 species
UACGUAGGGUGCGAGCGUUGUCCGGAAUUAUUGGGCGUAAAGGGCUCGUAGGCGGUUUGUCGCGUCGGGAGUGAAAACUCAGGGCUUAACCCUGAGCCUGCUUCCGAUACGGGCAGACUAGAGGUAUGCAGGGGAGAAUGGAAUUCCUGGUGUAGCGGUGAAAUGCGCAGAUAUCAGGAGGAACACCGGUGGCGAAGGCGGGUCUCUGGGCCGAUACUGACGCUGAGGAGCGAAAGCGUGGGGAGCAAACAGG